rnacentral:rRNA from 1 species
AACGAACGCUGGCGGCAGGCUUAACACAUGCAAGUCGAACGCGUGUAGCAAUACACGAGUGGCGCACGGGUGAGUAACGCGUGGAUAUCUGCCUUUUGGUUCGGAAUAACCCCGGGAAACUGGGGCUAAUACCGGAUGGUUCCUUAGGGAUAAAGAUUUAUCGCCAAAAGAUGAGUCCGCGUCCGAUUAGCUAGUUGGUGAGGUAAUGGCUCACCAAGGCGACGAUCGGUAGCUGGUCUGAGAGGACGAUCAGCCACACUGGGACUGAGACACGGCCCAGACUCCUACGGGAGGCAGCAGUGGGGAAUAUUGGACAAUGGGGGCAACCCUGAUCCAGCCAUGCCGCGUGAGUGAUGAAGGCCUUCGGGUUGUAAAGCUCUUUUGGCGGGGACGAUGAUGACGGUACCCGCAGAAUAAGCCCCGGCUAACUUCGUGCCAGCCGCCGCGGUAA